AAUCCACUGAUUAGUUUGGUCUCCUCUUGCCUGACCUGUUAACCUAGGUAGCAGUGCAUUUUGCACCUAUCAUUAAUAAAGUAAGAUGGUUGUUACUAGUAAUGUGAAAUAUCAUCAUAUUUUUUUAAGCUAUUAUCCAUAAUCUCUAGUUCUCAAAAAUAUUCCCCAUGAUGAAACAGCUACCAAGACUGGAUCUCACAGUAGUCAGUGUGAAGAGAGAGGCAUCUUGACUGUCCCAGACACCUACUUUAGAAUAAAAUCUCUACUGAUUGGAGCAAAUCUAGAUGUCUGAUGUUAGGUCAAAUAGAUCCCAUAUGUACACAGGAUAUAAAUGUAUACACAAUCUUAUAAGCACGUAAUACACAACAUAGUGAAAUAUAAAAUUAAGAUGAAGAAGAUAGAUGGAAGAUAUACCUAAAAGAAAGAAUAAGCCAACAUUGGUCAUGCAAUGUUAAUUUGUUUUUGUGUGCGUACAUAUUACAAUAUAGUUUUAUUUAUAAGAUCAUAAAAUACGCUUCCCAUUUGGACUUCUGAUCUGUGUACUGUGCAGGAUGGACUGUGGAACUCUCCUCUACUGUAGUUGAGUGUUAUCAGAAUGUUAUUUAAUUUCUAGAACACCCCUUCAAGGAAAAGUAAUGGUCUCAUCACUGUUUUAUAAAUCAGGGAUUUAUGAUGCACAGAAGUUAAGAUCAGAAGUGUCACCUUCCCCAUUCUCAGCAUCCUGAGUACUUGGGUGGGUGUGGUUCUUUUUUCAAGCAUGGUACUUCAAUUUUAGCCUUUGGUAGUCCUACACAUUGCAGACCAUAGGUCCUCAAGUCAAGUGUGAAGAUGAUAUGAUCACCACUUAGAAAACAAAAGUGAGCAGUGACUAGCAAACGUUUCACAAAGUAAGUUCCCAAAUAUCACAGUGAGCCUACAGAAUUGCAAAGGUGCUGAAGUAAAGCACUGUUCUUUAGAGUUUGACCAGUACCUUUAACCACGAUAAACCCAUGCCUCAUGCCUUUAUAUCAUUUAUACUUCUGCAUUAAAUGAGGUCUGAGGGAGGAAACAAAUGGAGUCUGAAGGAGAGAAAACACUUUCCAUAACUGUAUAAAGCUGAUCACUCCUAAAACAAUUUUUUUUCCAUACAGAGGAUAAACUGUUCAAGUGAAUACAUACCAGGUGGCCAUAUAUUUCAAGACCCCAUCAUUAAUACAUAGGACUGAGUAAAAGCAAUCUUAAAUCCUGCUAUUUGCCUAUAUUUGAUUCAAAGACCUUAAGAUUUAAAAACAAACAAAAAAACCAAACCAAACCAAAACAAAACAAAAAAACCACCAAAAAACCUCCAUAACAUUUUGUCUGCAAUUUUGUAUGGUUUUUAAAAAGCAAAUUAAAACAGAAACGAAGUCAGAAGUUCUAUCAUGUGGCAACAUACUAUUAUCUCCAAGGUAGGACAGUUGGUUUGGAACCUCUAAAUCCAUAGUGUAGACUUCUUCCUGCUGUUUUCUACUAAAAUGACAGACAGCAAUGGCAUGUUUUCAGCCUUUGUAGUGCAAUAUUGUAGGAGGUCAGACAUGGAGUUUCACAGAGACUUGCAGGAAGCAGCAUAGUGUCAGAUACACAUUCUAAGGCCUGUAGAGAGAUGAUCUUUACUGGUUAACAGCACACUCUUUCCUUGCACUUUCCUUGUUAGGUCCCUCCUGUAUCAUCUCUUCCAGCACAUUUUUUUCUUUUUCUUUCCUAUUUGGCUCCAGGAACUAAUCCCAUUCUCUUUGUUUGUACUACUGCUUCUUUCAUUUUCUGUCCCAUCACUCCUGCAAGUUCAUUUGACUUCAAUGUCCAACCUUAUCACCAGGCUACCAGUCAACUUACUACAUCUGGCUUAGAUCUUCUAGUCUCUUACUUUCACUUCCCUUUCCCUUGCUCAGUAAAUCCCAGAUUCUUUCUCCUACUUUCUGUGCUCAAAACGUUUAUGUGGAAUCACAGUUUAUCACUUAGGAGUAUCUAAGUAUUAUUCAAAACGCAUGCAUGGAAAGGUAUCAUUCUCUUCCUGGGAUAUUUGCUUAUUGCACCUGAUACCUACUAUUUAAUCAGUGGGAAAAUAGUUCACCACCGCUGUGUCCGUGCAGGGUCCAUCCAGUGUGAUGCUGCACUCUGCUGGCUGUGGCUUUGUACUGUCACUUGCAUUUUCCAGUCUCCCUCCCUUUAUUUUCCUAACACUACUGUGUGCGUUCAGCAUUUUCCAGAAUAAAUGAAGGCUUAGCACAAAUCAUUCCUACUUUGCUGCACCAACUUUCAUGAAAGCUGACUGACAUUCAUCUUUCUGAUUUGGCUUCCGUUACGCUCAAAUCUUAUAAAAAAAAAUUAGAAGAUAAAGAAGUGGAAAAAGGGCUGAUCAUCCAGGUGUUUCCUAAGUGUUUGCCAGACUUCAGUUCUGCAGGUGCCAUCUUUUGUGAGAAAGGUCCCCAUGGUCCAUGCCCCUUUGACCAAACAUCCCAACUAUGACAGGCUCCAGGCAUCUUUCUAUAGCUCCUCUUUCUUAGAAGCACCGCUAAGGAAAAGUCUGCAUGAAAUUUGCAAACAAUCAAAGACUCAACUGCUCUAAUUAAAACAGAAUGUACUAAGAAUGUAUAGGAAAGCUGGAGUGGAGCAAAAGGACUUGUCUGAAUAACUAACUCAGUUUACUUGGCAAAUGUCAGGCCAGGGAGGUACAUCUUGGAUUCAUUACAAAGGAAGCAAUAUCUUACUUGUCCUCCGCUCCUAUCCUCGGGCAGCUGUCAGCAAGACAAUCUCUUCCUUCCUGUCCUUACUGAUCCUCUUGACUACAGCAUCUCAAAGACACAGCCUCGAGUGUCUGACAUUUCUCGUCCCUACUGCUCCCGCAAACACCGUUCCUUUAUAGUCUGUGACCACUUUUGAUGUUCACGUUGUGACAGAUUUCAUUACCUUAUAAGAUAGGCUGGUCGCAGUUAUAUUUCAACAGUGAAAUGUCUGCACCAUCUGGGAUAAGAGUCUCUCUUUCUACAGUGGUUAACACCUUCUAACAUGACCCUCAUCCCUGCCCCCUCCAGCUAACUCUGGAGUUAUAUUUCCCGAUUUCCUUUCUCAGAACUUGGCAUUUCAAAAGCCUCUUUGAUCUUGCCAUCACCUCAGCAUGCCUGAAGGGUAAAGAUGUGUAGAUCGUGGUUUGCAUGUCAGUCUCCCUUCAUUCAAGGUGUUGAAUUGGCUAGGUUGAUUUGUCCAUAAAGCAACAAGAGUGUUACUUUUGUAUUCUUUUAUUAGUGAUGCUUUUCCUUCAUAGCACUGAUGAACUAUUGACAAAUUAAAGUUCAUCGAGCCCAGAGCCCCAGGCUAAAGACACAAUGCACCUUUUGCUCCAUGGUUGUUGGCUGUUUAAUUCAAUAUUUUUCAUAUCUUACGUGUUUGAUUCCUGUUUGACCCGAAUUGUCAGCAAAGCCAAAGAUUCCAUCAGUGAAAUGAAAUGCAAAACAGAACUACAAUACUGCACUUCUGACUUUAUUUAUGGCAAAGUUGGGGACUGUGGAAUCUGCAUGGCCUCACCUAUAAACAGUAAGUCCAGUCAAACUUUGGAGUAAAGAGCUACACCAUUUGUUCACACAGGAAUUGUUUGUUUCUGUUCACACAGGAAUUACUGCCUGGCUGGUAACUCCCAGAUCCCUUAGAACAGUUAAGUGGCAUAAUUUUUGCUCUUCCCAUGCUAUGUAGUGACAAGAAGUAGUACUUUUUUUUCUAUAGAAAUCCAGGAAAAUUUCAAAAUAUGAAGAUUUUGCAAUAGUACAACUUGAAGAAUUUGCAACUCUCUUCCCUGGGCUCUAGCUCUGGUAUUUUCUUUUUGAUGUUGCCCAUACUACAAGCACUUCUUGAUUCCCAAAGGCUAUGCACACAAGAAGGACCCAAUAGACUGUGUUGUUUUACCAUACUAUUUUGCACACUCAUAAACCAGCUGCUGCGUCUGAACUACUCCUAUACAACCCAGCACAACAGCCAGAAGGCUCCUCACAGAAAGCUACAGAUAUUUCCCCUUAGCUCAUUCCUUUUGCCCUCUAUCUCCUCUUUUUGGAGGCAGUUUUUAUUAAGCAGCAAUGCGCUUAUUCUGCUUGUUACAGCCGGAACAGUACUUAAUAAUAGCUAUUACCAGCUGGUAGCUGUAGAUACUAGAGGCACUGAGAUCUUGGAAAAGAGCUGGGAUCUCUUGGUACUUAUGAUGUCAAAUAGUGUUAGUGACGUAUUAUAAUGAUUCCACUAGACAACGCUAAUUUUUGGAACAGAAUGCCACCUUAAAGAGAUCCAUUCCCAUUAAUCUCCUGGCUGAAAAGCAUCUUGAGAACAUGCUAUGUUCCCGGAAUAGCUUGCUUCGCAUUUUUAUUGUUAACUGUUGUUAUUAUUACUUAAUUUGUAAAUGCAUGCUUAUUUGGAGUUUUAGCUAAUUUAUGCCAAAGUGGGUGGAAAAGUGUUAAGGUGAAAAAAAAAGUAUUUUUACAUUUUUCAGCUCACCUAGCUUACUUUCUGUUCAGAUCAUUGGUUCACAAAUACUUUUCCGGGGUUGGCUUUUUGACUGAGUUUAGAACAAGACUUGUUUUGCAUUAGAAACAUUUCUUUGCACAGCUGCAGUGCCCCUCACAAAGGUAUGACCAAGUGCCCAGGCAACAGCAGGGGCAAACGCCUUGCUUAGGACUAAGACAGGACAGAGUCUGAAACAAAAGUGGAGAAGCGUUUAGGUCACAAGGCAGGAUGCGAACUUAUAUGGACUUAGUGCAAAUCCUAGGAGUCGCCAGCCACAAAAGUCCCGACACUGCACAGCAACUCAGCACCUUCAAAAUGGCGCUGGGGGCAGCUCCCGCCGAGGAUGUUUUCCCGCCUUAUCCUAACGGCUCCGUAGCACCGGGCAAUGUAGGGCCCCAGAUGCUCAGUGACCAAUGCGCUGCCGGUGUACAGCGGUGCGAGGUGCCGCGAGUACUGACACUGCCCCAGGACCUCCGUGUAGAGGAGGUCCUGUCCCCCUCCACCCCUGUGCGCCCGAUACUCGCCACACGCUGCGUCAGGCGGCCGCUGUGCAGAUCGGAGCGCCGUUCCCUCAGUCCCCAGCAGAGGGCGCUCCGGCUCUUCUCACGGCCCGGCCCUCCCGCCGGCAGCUCGGGGUGGCCGAGCAGCGUCUGCCUCCUCCCGCCCAGGCAGCUCGAGAGAGUCUUAGAGCUGCCUGGAGUGCAGGAGGGAAACUUGCCUCCUUAAUAUCGUUGUAAUAUGCAUAGGCUUAUUAAGCUAUAUUUUACUUUUCUAGAAUUUGUUUGCAUGCUACGGCAAUGGGCAAAUAAGGCAGUAAUGGAACUCUCCGCCCUGGUAAUCCCAGGUCUGCAUCUACUUCCAGUCCCCAUGAAUUCACUGGAAGAAUGAAUGCCAAUAGAGCUACACCAGCUUAUGUGUCCUGAAGAUCUCUUGCAAUUUCUUCAUCAAAAUUUCUUCAGAUUCCUUUUGAUGCAAACUAGUUUAUUGCUGUGAUACAACAAAAUGCCACAUGCAGGUCACACCAAUUAUGGAAUAGCACUUCUGAGUUUGAAGAUUAGUAUUUUCUCUACCCUGGUCUGCAUGUUGUCUCUUUCAACGCUGCUCUUUUUACAGUCGAACUGUUGAACCAUUGCUAAAGCAUUUUAUGUACCCGUUUUCUUAUAUAGUGUUGCAAUUACAUAAAGUGUUACGCUUUUUGAUAAGUUAAAUACAAAGCUUAUAAUUUUAUAAUGCUUCAAAGACCUUUAUUCCGAGCAUUAAUGACCAAGUAACACACCUAAAAAGAGAGACUGGUAAAUACUUUGGUGUAAGAUAGAUUCAUUGGCUUUGGUUCAUUUUGACAUUGUUUGUCCAGCACUGUUAAACAGACUAUUCUCCUUUUUGGCUGGGAUUGAUCUUACCCGAAUGCAGGAUAAAAAUUCAACUAGGAGCUUAGCUCAGACUGCCUUUGUCAAUGAGAUGGGCACUGACAUGAUUCAUCUUGCUUGUUUUCAGCAGGAGGUCUAAGGUAAGAUGUCCCACUCCAGAACCACUCUCCUUCCUCCUUUUCACCACAGCUAGAAUUUAAAAUUAUCUUUGAAUAAGCAUUUGACUUUUGAAUAAUCACCUU